rnacentral:rRNA from 1 species
GACGAACGCUGGCGGCGUGCUUAACACAUGCAAGUCGAACGGAAAGGCCCUGCUUGCAGGGUACUCGAGUGGCGAACGGGUGAGUAACACGUGGGUGAUCUGCCCUGCACUUCGGGAUAAGCCUGGGAAACUGGGUCUAAUACCGGAUAGGAGCCAUUUUUAGUGUGAUGGUUGGAAAGUUUUUUCGGUGUAGGAUGAGCUCGCGGCCUAUCAGCUUGUUGGUGGGGUAAUGGCCUACCAAGGCGGCGACGGGUAGCCGGCCUGAGAGGGUGGACGGCCACAUUGGGACUGAGAUACGGCCCAGACUCCUACGGGAGGCAGCAGUGGGGGAUAUUGCACAAUGGGCGCAAGCCUGAUGCAGCGACGCCGCGUGGGGGAUGACGGCCUUCGGGUUGUAAACUCCUUUCGCUAGGGACGAAGCUUUUUGUGACGGUACCUAGAGAAGAAGCACCGGCUAACUACGUG